rnacentral:pre_miRNA from 1 species
UUUCUACUCCCUUCGUCCGAAAAUACUUGUCAUCAAAAUGGAUAAAAAGAGAUGUAUCUAAAACUAAAAUAUGUCUAGAUACAUUUCCUUUUAUCCAUUUUGAUGACAAGUAUUUCCGGACGGAGGGAGUAUUUG